rnacentral:rRNA from 1 species
AAGGUAGCGAAAUUCCUUGUCGGGUAAGUUCCGACCCGCACGAAUGGCGUAACGAUGGCCACACUGUCUCCUCCCGAGACUCAGCGAAGUUGAAAUGGUUGUGAAGAUGCAAUCUCCCCGCUGCUAGACGGAAAGACCCCGUGAACCUUUACUGUAGCUUUGCAUUGGACUUUGAAGUCACUUGUGUAGGAUAGGUGGGAGGCUUUGAAGCAGAGACGCCAGUCUCUGUGGAGCCGUCCUUGAAAUACCACCCUGGUGACUUUGAGGUUCUAACCCAGACCCGUUAUCCGGGUCGGGGACCGUGCAUGGUAGGCAGUUUGACUGGGGCGGUCUCCUCCCAAAGAGUAACGGAGGAGUUCGAAGGUUACCUAGGUCCGGUCGGAAAUCGGACUGAUAGUGCAAUGGCAAAAGGUAGCUUAACUGCGAGACCGACAAGUCGAGCAGGUGCGAAAGCAGGACAUAGUGAUCCGGUGGUUCUGAAUGGAAGGGCCAUCGCUCAACGGAUAAAAGGUACUCCGGGGAUAACAGGCUGAUUCCGCCCAAGAGUCCAUAUCGACGGCGGAGUUUGGCACCUCGAUGUCGGCUCAUCACAUCCUGGGGCUGUAGUCGGUCCCAAGGGUAUGGCUGUUCGCCAUUUAAAGUGGUACGUGAGCUGGGUUUAAAACGUCGUGAGACAGUUUGGUCCCUAUCUGCAGUGGGCGUUGGAAGUUUGACGGGGGCUGCUCCUAGUACGAGAGGACCGGAGUGGACGAACCUCUGGUGUACCGGUUGUUUCGCCAGAAGCAUAGCCGGGUAGCUAAGUUCGGAAGAGAUAAGCGCUGAAAGCAUCUAAGCGCGAAACUCGCCCAAAGAUGAGACUUCCCUUGUGGUUUAACCAUACUAAAGAGUCGUUCGAGACCAGGACGUUGAUAGGUUGGGUGUGGAAGAGUGG